UACGGGAGGCAGCAGUGGGGAAUAUUGCACAAUGGGCGCAAGCCUGAUGCAGCCAUGCCGCGUGUAUGAAGAAGGCCUUCGGGUUGUAAAGUACUUUCAGUCGUGAGGAAGGUGUUAAGGUUAAUAACCUUAGCAAUUGACGUUAGCGACAGAAGAAGCACCGGCUAACUCCGUGCCAGCAGCCGCGGUAAUACGGAGGGUGCGAGCGUUAAUCGGAAUUACUGGGCGUAAAGGGCACGCAGGCGGUUAAUUAAGUUGGAUGUGAAAUCCCCGGGCUUAACCUGGGAAUGGCAUUCAAGACUGGUUAGCUAGAGUCUUGUAGAGGGGGUAGAAUUCCAUGUGUAGCGGUGAAAUGCGUAGAGAUGUGGAGGAAUACCGGUGGGCGAAGGCGGGCCCCUGGGACAAAGGACUGACGCUCAUGUGCGAAAGCGUGGGGAGCAAAACAGGGAUUAGAUACC
rnacentral:rRNA from 1 species